rnacentral:pre_miRNA from 1 species
AGUGCAAUUGCUAGAUCAUAUGGUAGGAGUAUCUUUAGUUUUAUAAGAAAUUGUUAAACUAUCUUCUAAAGUGGCUGUACCAUUUUGUAUUUCCACUAGCAGU